UCUGNUCUGUAACAGACGCUGAGGCUNGAAAGCGUGGGGAGCGAACAGGAUUAGAUACCCUGGUAGUCCACGCCGUAAACGAUGAGUGCUAGGUGUUAGGCCCUUUCCGGGGCUUAGUGCCGCAGCUAACGCAUUAAGCACUCCGCCUGGGGAGUACGACCGCAAGGUUGAAACUCAAAGGAAUUGACGGGGGCCCGCACAAGCGGUGGAGCAUGUGGUUUAAUUCGAAGCAACGCGAAGAACCUUACCAGGUCUUGACAUCCCGAUGCCCGCUCUAGAGAUAGAGUUUUACUUCGGUACAUCGGUGACAGGUGGUGCAUGGUUGUCGUCAGCUCGUGUCGUGAGAUGUUGGGUUAAGUCCCGCAACGAGCGCAACCCUUAUUGUUAGUUGCCAUCAUUCAGUUGGGCACUCUAGCGGGACUGCCGGUAAUAAACCGGAGGAAGGUGGGGAUGACGUCAAAUCAUCAUGCCCCUUAUGACCUGGGCUACACACGUGCUACAAUGGCUGGUACAACGAGUCGCAAGUCGGUGACGGCAAGCUAAUCUCUUAAAGCCAGUCUCAGUUCGGAUUGUAGGCUGCAACUCGCCUACAUGAAGUCGGAAUCGCUAGUAAUCGCGGAUCAGCACGCCGCGGUGAAUACGUUCCCGGGCCUUGUACACACCGCCCGUCACACCACGAGAGUUUGUAACACCCGAAGUCGGUGAGGUANCCUUUUAGGAGCCA
rnacentral:rRNA from 1 species